GAUGAACGCUAGCUACAGGCUUAACACAUGCAAGUCGAGGGGCAGCAUGAACAUAGCUUGCUAUGUUUGAUGGCGACCGGCGCACGGGUGCGUAACACGUAUCCAAUCUGCCCGUUACUCGGGGAUAGCCUUCUGAAAGGAAGAUUAAUACCCGAUGGCAUGUAUUUCCGGCAUCGGAGAUACAUUAAAGAUUUAUCGGUAACGGAUGAGGAUGCGUACGAUUAGCUGGUUGGCGGGGUAACGGCCCACCAAGGCGACGAUCGUUAGGGGUUCUGAGAGGAAGGUCCCCCACACUGGAACUGAGACACGGUCCAGACUCCUACGGGAGGCAGCAGUGGGGAAUAUUGGGCAAUGGGGGAAACCCUGACCCAGCAACGCCGCGUGAAGGAAGAAGGCCUUCGGGUUGUAAACUUCUUUUUACCAGGGACGAAGAACGUGACGGUACCUGGAGAAAAAAGCAACGGCUAACUACGUG
rnacentral:rRNA from 1 species